CAGCUGGAGACGACUCGGGCACUUAGAGGUCGGCUCGUUCUCAGGAUUUCAAAAAUCCAACUUUCUGUUUAUCUUUCUCGAGUCGACUCGGGUUUACUUGAAGUCGACUCGGCUGACUUGAGAGACGACUCGAGAUCUUCGGAAGACGUCUCAUUCUCAGAGACCGGAAAAUUGAUUCUCUGUCUUUUGAAUUGAUCUGCCUCGGAGU
rnacentral:lncRNA from 1 species